rnacentral:rRNA from 1 species
GACGGAGGAUGCAAGCGUUAUCCGGAAUGAUUGGGCGUAAAGCGUCCGCAGGUGGCAGUUCAAGUCUGCUGUCAAAGACCGGGGCUUAACUUCGGAAAGGCAGUGGAAACUGAACAGCUAGAGUAUGGUAGGGGCAGAGGGAAUUCCUGGUGUAGCGGUGAAAGUGCGUAGAGAUCAGGAAGAACACCAAUGGCGAAAGCAGCCUCUCUGGGACGGUACUGACGCUGAGACGCGAAAGCGUGGGGAGCGAACAGG